rnacentral:rRNA from 1 species
AACGAACGCUGGCGGCAUGCUUAACACAUGCAAGUCGAACGCAAGGCUUCGGCCUUGAGUGGCGCACGGGUGAGUAGCGCGUGGGAACCUGCCCUGGAGUGGGGGAUAACCGAUGGAAACGUCGGCUAAUACCGCAUGAUCCCGGUGGUGACAUCGGGCAAAGAUUUAUCGCUUUGGGAGGGGCCCGCGUCGGAUUAGGUAGUUGGUGGGGUAACGGCCUACCAAGCCGAUGAUCCGUAGCUGGUCUGAGAGGAUGAUCAGCCACACUGGGACUGAG